UACGGGGGGAGCAAGCGUUGUUCGGAUUUACUGGGCGUAAAGGGCGGGUAGGCGGCCACCGCAAGUCAGUUGUGAAAUCUCUGGGCUUAACCCAGAAAGGUCAACUGAUACUGCGGGGCUAGAGUGCAGAAGGGGCAACUGGAAUUCUCGGUGUAGCGGUGAAAUGCGUAGAUAUCGAGAGGAACACCUGCGGCGAAGGCGGGUUGCUGGGCUGACACUGACGCUGAAGCGCGGAAGCUAGGGGAGCGAACGGG
rnacentral:rRNA from 1 species